GAUGAACGCUGGCGGCGUGCCUAAUACAUGCAAGUCGAGCGAACGGACGAGAAGCUUGCUUCUCUGAUGUUAGCGGCGGACGGGUGAGUAACACGUGGAUAACCUACCUAUAAGACUGGGAUAACUUCGGGAAACCGUAGCUAAUACCGGAUAAUAUUUUGAACCGCAUGGUUCAAAAGUGAAAGACGGUCUUGCUGUCACUUAUAGAUGGAUCCGCGCUGCAUUAGCUAGUUGGUAAGGUAACGGCUUACCAAGGCAACGAUGCAUAGCCGACCUGAGAGGGGGGUCGGCCACACGGGAACUGAGACACGGUCCAGACUCCUACGGGAGGCAGCAGUAGGGAAUCUUCCGCAAUGGGCGAAAGCCUGACGGAGCAACGCCGCGUGAGUGAUGAAGGUCUUCGGAUCGUAAAACUCUGUUAUUAGGGAAGAACAUAUGUGUAAGUAACUGUGCACAUCUUGACGGUACCUAAUCAGAAAGCCACGGCUAACUACGUG
rnacentral:rRNA from 1 species